CGGACUGCAGUCUGCAACUCGACUGCACGAAGCUGGAAUCGCUAGUAAUCGCGGAUCAGCAACGCCGCGGUGAAUGCGUUCCCGGGCCUUGUACACACCGCCCGUCAAGUCAUGAAAGUGGGCAGCACCCGAAGACGGUGGCCUAACCCUUGUGGGGGAGCCGUCUAAGGUGAGGCUCGUGAUUGGGACUAAGUCGUAACAAGGUAAC
rnacentral:rRNA from 1 species